ACUCCCGCCGGCAAUGAUUUUGAAUACAAGGAAGGCGCGAGAGUCCUCCAAACGAACGAAGCAAGCGGCGCGGCAGAGAGACUACAUUCUUGAGCAGGGCUGAGUAUUACAGAAACAUCAUAGUUAAAGACUUAAGUUAAGAUUGGAAUGCCUUAUAGCUGCAUAGCAGGCGCGUGCCGUAUGGGCAGGUGGGGCGGCGAACUCCCUGCAAAAGCAUUCUCCCAAAAAAAUAGUUCCUCAGUAAAUCAUUGCUCCAAGUUUAUUUUUAAUAAUGUGAUUGUCACAUUAACUAUCUAUAGUUUCUGUAGGCUUUCAGACAAUUUUUGUUCUGUUGAUAUCAAAUUGAUGGUGACGAUUCUAGUUGAGUUUAACGUGUCAUGCAAUGUGGGGCGGCGGAGCUCAACGACCGCGUCCCUCCGUAUGUUUCUCGCAUAACCCUGCAGGCUGCAAUAAGAAUUGCAAUCCGCGCUAAAGACGCGCUAACAAACACAAACCCUUCUACACUCAGCUGGUUUUCCUGACCGUUGACUUCAUGUGCCUCCUUUUGUAUCAACAGUCAUUCGAUUUGAUUAUAUUAAACUUUAUUGUCAUUGAACCAAGUAACAGGUACUUGAACAACAAAAUGCAAGUCAUCUUCUGUAAAUUAUUUACAAAUGGCCAUCUCUAAUCUACUUGGUUGCACACCUGUCUGAACUUUUAUGAACCAAUAUAAGUCACCAAUAAUUAAUAAUAAAACAAGCUUCACAUCAAGAGCAAAAAAAAUAAUAAGGUAAACCCAAAAGGUCUUAAAUACUUAGAAAUUAAAGAUAUAAAAAAAGAAAGAGAGGGAAAUCUUUGAUAGCACUUCCCCUGAAUCCCCAUUUGGCUCUUCCAAGCAUGCAGGUAAUACACUCUACUUUGGGAGUUAUUCUAUGUCACCGCACUUUGAGGGUGGCAUUGUAUGUAAAUUAUUGGAAUUGGUGAAUAAAGUGAUAUUUGCACUCAA